rnacentral:rRNA from 1 species
UACAGAGACUGCAAGCGUUAUUCGGAUUCACUGGGCGUAAAGGGUGCGCGGGCGGUUGUGUGUGUCAGGUGUGAAAGCCCGGGGCUUAACCCCGGAAUUGCGCCUGAAACUACAUGACUAGAGCAUUGGAGAGGGUAGCGGAAUUCACGGUGUAGCAGUGAAAUGCGUAGAUAUCGUGAGGAACACCAGAGGCGAAGGCGGCUACCUGGACAAUUGCUGACGCUCAGGCACGAAAGCGUGGGGAGCAAAAGGG